GGGUAAGAUUGCAAUGUGCAACACACCGGCAGAGCGCGGUGGCCGUGCCGGCCCCGGGAGCCCCGCGCCGCCAGCGGGGCCGGUGGGUGCCCCGUGCCCGCCGAUGCCCCGGCUCUGCCCGGUCACGGCCUCGCUGCUGCUGGGCACGGCCAGGGCAGCGUGCGACGAGGAGCUGCUGUUGCGGGAGGGGGUGACCCUGUGCGUGAAUGUCACCCGGCAGCAGCCCUUCCCCUCGCUGCGCGGCCUCCGCGCCAUCCGCGUGCCCGUGUUCGAUGACCCGGCCGAGGACCUGGCCCGCUACUUCGAGCCCUGCGGCGCCGCCAUCGAGGCGGCCGUGAGGGCCGGGGGCCGCUGCCUCGUGUACUGCAAGAACGGCCGCAGCCGCUCCGCCGCCAUCUGCACCGCUUAUCUCAUGAGGCACCGGCGGCUCCCGCUCAAGGACGCCUUUGAGGCUGUGAAAACUGCCAGACCCGUAGCAGAGCCAAAUGCAGGAUUUUGGUCUCAGCUGCAGAGAUAUGAAGAAGAAUUGAAGAUACCAAAGCACUCUGAUCCGCUGAGCAAAGGACUUGAAAAUAGCAAUGUGUGAAGAUACUUUAAAGAAAGUGAAGUGACUUGCUACAGAGUUAAAAAAAUGGAAAAAAAAAUCACUUCCUAAAUCACCUGUAGGUAAAACAUUUUACCCCCAUAACUGAGAUGAUGGUUCAUUAAAUUCAUGCAGAGCAUUUCUGUUGGUAAUGCAUGGAAAGAGGGCAGAUAAGCAGGGAAUAACAGCAGAAACAGAAAAUGGUUGGAAGGACUGUAAACAGAGAAAGGCCUGGAAUCUUCAGCAGUUAUUUCCCCCUGAAUGACACUGAGUAUGGUAACAAUGUACUGAACAAAGGAAGGAGUUACCACACAGGGAUUUUAUUCCUGGUUUUUAAUUAAACUUCCCAGUGAUGCCAUUAGAAGACAUGAUGCCAGACCAAGGAAGUUCUGAAUUUCUCUCUCAUCUACUGGAUCAUUAUUCAUGUUAAUGAGCUGACACAGCCUUUGGUGGGAAACUGACAGUGGUUGAUGCUUUGUCUCUGUGAUUUUUCUUAUGUUCAACAAGAACAAAGCACCUUCAAAAUUACCUAAAAAUCCAGAGGACAGAAUAUACAGUAAUGGCAUUUCAGCCAAGGCCUCAAGCAGAAGCCCUCAGCACCUUUGUACAAGCUGCAGGUUUUCAUACAGCAGUCAAGAUGACAAAGAAAGAAAACAGAAGUACCUUCACCCUACCCCUUCAGCUGUCAUUCAUCAUGUUGAACUUCUGUUUCAUAGAUCAGUUGUACCUGAUUUUCAGGACAUUUCAAGGCAUUUGGUACUUUGUAACAAAGUAAGGUGAGCAAGAUUUAAAGUCCAAUGGGGCUGAUGAAAUAUUACCAUAAAAUUGAAAUGGUUUCAGAUUAGGCAAUGGAGUACCAGAGGAACUCUCAUUUACAACAUUUUGAUAUCAAUUUCCUAAGAUUAAAUAGACCAACAGUGAAUAUGCUUCCUCCUUGCAUAUUAUAACCCUCUCAAGCUCAGCUAGUACAACCUCCAAGCUAUUUGAGCUCUGGCAGACAUGGACCUCUGCUAUUUCUGCCUCUUUCCUCCCUCUCCUUCAAAAAGAGGCCUUCUGUAGGUGUCAAAAUUUAAGACUGAAACAAGAAAGGAGGGAAGGUUAAAUAUUGAGGCCAGAAAUCUCACCUUUCCUGAUGUGAUGUGCAACAAGACACUUCUAUAAAGAACAAGAAAAGAACCAUGUUUCUAGUGAUCAAUUCCAUGUGCUUUGGGAAAUGCCUUUAUACUUUCUGCAGACUGAACAGUGAAUAUUUUACUCACAGUGAGUACUGCAAACAAACUGGAU